rnacentral:misc_RNA from 1 species
GUAGGUGAACCUGCGGAAGGAUCAUUGACAAGAAGAGGUGGUAUAGCCUUGAACCAUGUGAAUAGAGUCUGUAAUGGACUUGAGUUGGUAACGAGGGAAAUAAUAAUAUAUACGAUAGUCUAAACGUAAAAACAAAAAAAAAAACAACUUUUAACAAUGGAUCUCUAGGCUCUUGCAUCGAUGAAGAACGCAGCAUCUGACUGACUCGGGCAUA